rnacentral:tRNA from 1 species
AGCAGAGUGGUGCAGCGGAAGCUUGCUGGGCCCUUAACCCAGAGGUCAAUCGAUUGAAACCAUCCUCUGCUA